rnacentral:rRNA from 1 species
CCUACGGGAGGCUGCAGUGGGGGAUAUUGCACAAUGGAGGAAACUCUGAUGCAGCAACGCCGCGUGAGGGAAGAAGGUCUUCGGAUUGUAAACCUCUGUCCUCAGGGACGAUAAUGACGGUACCUGAGGAGGAAGCUCCGGCUAACUACGUGCCAGCAGCCGCGGUAAUACGUAGGGAGCAAGCGUUGUCCGGAUUUACUGGGUGUAAAGGGUGCGUAGGCGGCCCUGCAAGUCAGGUGUGAAAACUUUGGGCUUAACUCAUAGAUUGCACUUGAAACUGGGGGGCUUGAGUGAAGUAGAGGUAGGCGGAAAUCCGGGUGGAUCGGAUAAAGGCGAGAUGAUAGGGAAGGACACGGGUGGGGAAGGCGGCCUGCUGGGCUUUAGCCGACGCUAGAGCAGGAAAGCGGGGGUAGCAAACAGGAUUAGAUAGUGGGGUGGUC